rnacentral:rRNA from 1 species
AUUGAACGCUGGCGGCAGGACUAACACAUGCAAGUCGAGCGAGCGCCGGACGGGGGAGUAAUGUAUGGGGACUGCCCGAUAGAGGGGGCUAACUACUGGAAACGGUAGCUAAUACCGCAUACUAUCGGAUAACCCAUAUGGGAUUAGCUAGUAGGUGAGGUAGUGGCUAACCUAGGCGACGAUCCCUCGCUGGUCUGAGAGGAUGAUCAGCGACACGGGGACCGAGACACGGCCCAGACUGCUACGGAGGCAGCAGUGUGGAAUAUUGCACAAGGGGCGCAAGCCUGAUGCAGCCAUGCCGCGUGUAUGAAGAAGGCCCUAGGGUUGUAAAGUACUGUCAGUCGGGAGGCGUUACCGACAGAAGAAGCACCGGCUAACUCCGUGCCAGCAGCCGCGGUAAUUC